rnacentral:rRNA from 1 species
CGGGUGCACUGAUCCAGCCGGGCCUUUCCCUCUGUGGAACCCCAUGGCCUUCACUGGCUGUGGUGGGGAAACAGGACUUUUACUUUGAAAAAAUUAGAGUGCUCCAGGCAGGCCUAUGCUCGAAUACAUUAGCAUGGAAUAAUAGAAUAGGACGUGUGGUUCUAUUUUGUUGGUUUCUAGGACCGCCGUAAUGAUUAAUAGGGACAGUCGGGGGCAUCAGUAUUCAAUUGUCAGAGGUGAAAUUCUUGGAUCUAUUGAAGACUAACUACUGCGAAAGCAUUUGCCAAGGAUGUUUUCAUUGAUAAGGAACGAAAGUUAGGGGAUCGAAGACGAUCAGAUACCGUCGUAGUCUUAACUAUAAACUAUGCCGACUAGGGAUCGGACGAUGUUAUUCUUUGACGCGUUCGGCACCUUUCGAGAAAUCAAAGUGCUUGGGCUCCAGGGGGAGUAUGGUCGCAAGGCUGAAACUUAAAGAAAUUGACGGGAGGGCACCACCAGGGGUGGAACCUGCGGCUUAAUUUGACUCAACACGGGGAAACUCACCAGGUCCAGACACAGUGAGGAUUGACAGAUUGAGAGCUCUUUCUUGAUUCUGUGGGUGGUGGUGCAUGGCCGUUCUUAGUUGGUGGAGUGAUUUGUCUGCUUAAUUGCGAUAACGAACGAGACCUUAACCUGCUAAAUAGCCCGUACUGCUUUGGCAGUUCGCCGGCUUCUUAGAGGGACUAUCGG